GAUGAACGCUAGCUACAGGCUUAACACAUGCAAGUCGAGGGGUAACGAGAGGGAAGCUUGCUUUCCUUGUCGACGACCGGCGCACAGGUGAGUAACGCGUAUCCAACCUGCCCCCAACUAGGGAAUAACCUUGCGAAAGUAAGACUAAUACCCUAUAAUUUCCUCAGAUGUCAUCUGACGAGGAAUCAAGAUUUAUCGGUUGUGGAUGGGGAUGCGUCUGCUUAGCUUGGUGGCGGGGUAACGGCCCACCAAGGCAACGAUCAGAAGGGGUUCUGAGAGGAAGGUCCCCAACAUUGGAACUGAGACACGGACCAAACUCCUACGGGAGGCAGCAGUGAGGAAUAUUGGUCAAUGGGCGGAAGCCUGAACCAGCCAAGUAGCGUGCAGGAUGACGGCCCUAUGGGUUGUAAACUGCUUUUAUACAGGAAUAAAGUUAGCCACGUGUGGUUAUUUGUAGGUACUGUAUGAAUAAGGACCGGCUAAUUCCGUGCCAGCAGCCGCCGUAA
rnacentral:rRNA from 1 species